GUAGGAGUGAGCCUGCUCGCGAUGGGGCCGGCACAUUCAAUAUUUAUGGUGAUUGACACACCGCAAUCGCGAGCAGGCUCACUCCUAC
rnacentral:antisense_RNA from 1 species